AUGUUUGAUUCACAUGUUUUAUCCAAAGUUGCAUUAUACACGAAUGUACAACUUUUUUCAGCAUCUCCACUGCAUAUUCCAACAGCUCAUCCAACUCAGUCAUUUUAUCAAGCUCCUCCAGCGUAUCAAGUUUAUCAAGCUCCUCCAGCUCAACCAGCAGCUCCAGUUCAACCAGCUGAACCAGCACCUGCACCAGCUACUCAACCAGCUGAACCAGCACCUGCACCAGCUGAACCAGCAACUCAACCAACUGAACCAGCACCUGGACCUGCACCGGCAACUCAACCAGCUUCAUGGACUCAAGAACCACAGGCUCCCAAAGAAAAGCAGAAGGCUGCCACCAUAAAGAAGGUUCCAAAGGAAAAGACCAAGGCAGCUGCCCCAAAGGAGCCAGAGCCCCCUAAAGAAAAAGUCAAGAAGCAAGGUAACAAUUUGUACAGUUAA
rnacentral:lncRNA from 8 species